rnacentral:rRNA from 1 species
AUUGAACGCUGGCGGCAGGCCUAACACAUGCAAGUCGAACGAGUGGCGGACGGGUGAGUAAUGUCUGGGAAACUGCCUGAUGGAGGGGGAUAACUACUGGAAACGGUAGCUAAUACCGCAUACCAUCGGAUGUGCCCAGAUGGGAUUAGCUAGUAGGUGGGGUAACGGCUCACCUAGGCGACGAUCCCUAGCUGGUCUGAGAGGAUGACAGGCAACACUGGAACGGAGAAACGGGCCAGAUCCCUACGGGAGGAAGAAUGGGGGAAUAUUGCACAAGGGGCGCAAGCCUGAGGCAGCCAUGCGGCGUGUAUGAAGAAGGCCUGCGGGUUGUAAAGUACGUUCAGCGGGGAGGCGUUACCCGCAGAAGAAGCACCGGCUAACUCCGGGCCAGAAGCCGCGGUAAUUC